UACGUAGGGGGCGAGCGUUGUCCGGAUUUAUUGGGCGUAAAGAGCUCGUAGGCGGUUUGGUAAGUCGGGUGUGAAAUCUCCACGCUCAACGUGGAGGGGCCACUCGAUACUGCCAUGACUCGAGUCCGGUAGAGGAGUGUGGAAUUCCCGGUGUAGCGGUGAAAUGCGCAGAUAUCGGGAAGAACACCCGUGGCGAAGGCGGCUCUCUGGGACGGUACUGACGCUGAGACGCGGAAAGCGUGGGGAGCGAACGA
rnacentral:rRNA from 1 species